rnacentral:lncRNA from 1 species
AUUAAAAGUGUUCUGAAUCGGGAAAUGUCUUGCAAACAGAACAUCUCUGAACAAAUAAAACUUUUAAUUAACCUUUUUAACCGUAAAGUCGUAAUAUGUUAUAAACAAUCAUCGAAAAUCCAGCGCAAAACCGCAUCCACACUGACUUCCGGGAUAAAUAAUGACGUACAAAUGAAAAACAGAUUUCUUUUUUCAACUAUGAACAUAUAUAUAUCUAAAAUGCAAGCAAUCUGGAUGUGCUUCUUAUUUUUCAGUUAAGGAACAAUGCAUUCUUCAAAACUGAUAUGGCUUGUAUACUUCAUUUUUGUAUAUAUAACUGCUUGCAGAGGAAACUUUGUAAAGCCAAAACCAGCUGCUAAUGUAAAUGAACCACAGCAAAUCCACAUUGGCUUUGGUCAGCGAUUAACUGACAUAAUUAUUUUAUGGUCAACUAAAAACAAUGAUUCAUCAGUCGCAGAAUAUUAUACAGGAAACACAAAUUCAAAGG